rnacentral:rRNA from 1 species
CGUAAAGAGCUCGUAGGCGGUUUGUCGCGUCUGCCGUGAAAGUCCGGGGCUCAACCCCGGAUCUGCGGUGGGUACGGGCAGACUAGAGUGAUGUAGGGGAGACUGGAAUUCCUGGUGUAGCGGUGAAAUGCGCAGAUAUCAGGAGGAACACCGAUGGCGAAGGCAGGUCUCUGGGCAUUAACUGACGCUGAGGAGCGAAAGCAUGGGGAGCGAACAGGAUUAGAUACCCUGGUAGUCCAUGCCGUAAACGUUGGGCACUAGGUGUGGGGGACAUUCCACGUUUUCCGCGCCGUAGCUAACGCAUUAAGUGCCCCGCCUGGGGAGUACGGCCGCAAGGCUAAAACUCAAAGGAAUUGACGGGGGCCCGCACAAGCGGCGGAGCAUGCGGAUUAAUUCGAUGCAACGCGAAGAACCUUACCAAGGCUUGACAUGAACCGGUAAUACCUGGAAACAGGUGCCCCACUUUGUGGUCGGUUUACAGGUGGUGCAUGGUUGUCGUCAGCUCGUGUCGUGAGAUGUUGGGUUAAGUCCCGCAACGAGCGCAACCCUCGUUCUAUGUUGCCAGCACGUGAUGGUGGGGACUCAUAGGAGACUGCCGGGGUCAACUCGGAGGAAGGUGAGGACGACGUCAAAUCAUCAUGCCCCUUAUGUCUUGGGCUUCACGCAUGCUACAAUGGCCGGUACAAUGGGUUGCGAUACUGUGAGGUGGAGCUAAUCCCAAAAAGCCGGUCUCAGUUCGGAUUGGGGUCUGCAACUCGACCCCAUGAAGUCGGAGUCGCUAGUAAUCGCAGAUCAGCAACGCUGCGGUGAAUACGUUCCCGGGCCUUGUACACACCGCCCGUCAAGUCACGAAAGUUGGUCAACACCCGAAGCCCAUGGCCCAACCCCUUUUGGGGAGGGAGUGGUCGAAGGUGGGACUGGCGAUUGGGACUAASUCGUAACAAGGUAACCGUAA